CGGCGGACGGGUGUGUAACGCGUGGGUAACCUGCCUCAUACAGGGGGAUAACAGUUGGAAACGGCUGCUAAUACCGCAUAAGCGCACAGUACCGCAUGGUACGGUGUGAAAAACUCCGGUGGUAUGAGAUGGACCCGCGUCUGAUUAGGUAGUUGGUGGGGUAACGGCCUACCAAGCCGGCGAUCAGUAGCCGACCUGAGAGGGUGACCGGCCACAUUGGGACUGAGACACGGCCCAA
rnacentral:rRNA from 1 species